CCUUAAAACCCUAGGGUAUAGAAUGAACCUUAUACCCAUCUGCCUUGGCAUACAGAUGCUGAAUCCCUGACUGUGGGGACAGGGGUCCCUUCCAGGGGUGAUGGAGUGGUGAGUAGAAGGGAGGCUGGGUCCUGAGGACUUAAGGCAGAGUUGCCUUACCAGCUGUGGGAGGCAGAGGUUGGCUCUCAUGGCUUUUGUUCUUUGUGUUAUUCAUGGAUAUGCUACAUGACAUAGCAAAAUGUAACUAAGGUACUAAUUGGUUGACCUUAAAAUAGGAAGAUUGUCCUAGAUUCACCAGGUGGACGUAGUCCAAAUUGUAUGAGCCUUUGGAAGGGAAGAUCUUUCUCUAGCCCAUCGCAGAAGGGGAAGGCAGAGAUUUGAAGCAUGAGAAGGAUUCGCCAUGCAAUUAUUGGCUCGAAGACGAGGGGGUCUGCAUGUCAAGAAGACAGGGAUCUCAGUUCCGCAACUGCAAUGAACUGAAUUCUGCUAACAACCUAGAUGCAUUUGGAAGUGGAUUCUUCCCCAGAUUCUGCAGACAGCCCAGCCCAGCCAACACUGGAGCGCCAAAGUGGAUUUCAGCUUUGAGAGUCCCUGAGUACAGAACGCAGCUGUGCCACACUGUGCCGGGACUUCUGGUCCAGGGAUGCUGAAGAACAGUUCUACCCUGGGAACCGAGUGCUUCAUUGCCCUCCUGGUGGAGGUCCCAAGAUGGCACAGAGAGACCAGAUGAGUUCUCCUGAAGACCCUUCAGUAUUUCCUCCAAGCUUCAUUUCCCAGACUCCCGUAUUCUCCAAGUCACCAGAGAAUGGCAUUUUGUUUUGACCGAAGAUUGUCGAAACAACAACAAUGGUGGCACCUGUUAGUUGGUAUCCAAGGUGUCAUGACAAGAAAUUUCACACUUGACUCUCCAUUUAAAAGAAACCUGGAACAUGAGACGUGGUGGGAAAUCAGGAAGACCUGUGGCUUUGCUCAUAACUGGAGAACACCACUUCUUUUCAGUUUGUCUACAUCUUUAUCAGGUAAGUCUUCAUGGAGAAACUCUAUUUAACUAAGCAUGACCUUUCUGUUACAUUGAGUGUAUCUCUCAUGAGAUGAAUACAAUCCCCAUUUUUCCUCCAGCAUGGCCAUGACAUGUAAGGCAUUUCUAAGGGUGAGAUUUCCUCUGAAAUGUUCAAAGAAAGCAACCAG
rnacentral:lncRNA from 13 species